GGGGUGUAUUUAUUAGAUAAAAAACCAACGCGGCUCGCCGCUCCAUUGGUGAUUCAUAAUAACUUGUCGAAUCGCACGGCCUUGUGCUGGCGAUGCUUCAUUCAAAUAUCUGCCCUAUCAACUUUCGAUGGUAGGAUAGUGGCCUACCAUGGUUUCAACGGGUAACGGGGAAUUAGGGUUCGAUUCCGGAGAGGGAGCCUGAGAAACGGCUACCACAUCCAAGGAAGGCAGCAGGCGCGCAAAUUACCCAAUCCCGACACGGGGAGGUAGUGACAAUAAAUAACAAUAUAGGGCCCUUUCGGGUCUUAUAAUUGGAAUGAGUACAAUUUAAAUCCCUUAACGAGGAACAAUUGGAGGGCAAGUCUGGUGCCAGCAGCCGCGGUAAUUCCAGCUCCAAUAGCGUAUAUUAAAGUUGUUGCAGUUAAAAAGCUCGUAGUUGAACUUCAGACCUGGCCGGACGGUCUGCCUAACGGUAUGUACUGUCUCGGCUGGGCCUUACCUCUUGGUGAGCCGUCAUGCCCUUCACUGGGUGUGGUGGGGAACCAGGACUUUUACCUUGAGAAAAUUAGAGUGUUCAAAGCAGGCAUACGCCCGAAUACAUUAGCAUGGAAUAAUAAAAUAGGACGUGCGGUUCUAUUUUGUUGGUUUCUAGAGUCGCCGUAAUGAUUAAUAGGGAUAGUUGGGGGCAUUAGUAUUCAGUUGCUAGAGGUGAAAUUCUUGGAUUUACUGAAGACUAACUACUGCGAAAGCAUUUGCCAAGGAUGUUUUCAUUAAUCAAGAACGAAGGUUAGGGGAUCG
rnacentral:rRNA from 1 species